AGACUCGUCCAGAAAACUGCGUCCAGGAAGGAAGUGACAGAAGACGAAUGGGAAAAGGAGAACAGCUCACAGCGUUUGAAACAUCGCGGCACCACUUUCAGAUAAAAACAUAGACCUGAAUGGCAUCAUCCAGUAUCCAAGGAAACCAUGCAGUUUUGAACAUCUGGAGGCCUGAUUUAUUGGAGAUUGCAAAUGUACAGUGUAACAUAGCUGUGGAGAGCGAGAAGAUCAGGAUUGUCAAUGCUGUCAUUGCUUUUACUGGAAUCCCCAGCACGAAUUGAAGGUUUGACCAGAGACAAAGAAGCAAAUGCUAUCAAUUAACAUUCACAUGUGGUAGGAAUUCUACUAGUGCAUGUGGAGAGAAACAUGGCUGCUGCAUGGAGUCAUAAACCUCAGAGGAAGCUGAGAAUGAGAUGAAAUGUAUAUGUAACCCUUGUGUAUGGCAAGUUUGGCAAGAAAGAAAAAGCAUACUUGGCAGAUUAAGAUAAGGUUUCUCUCUGUUUACUGAUAUAGUCUCAGGUUUGCAUUGUGUGAUGAAUAAUAGGUUGGGGGAAGAUAUCCUUUGUUUAUUCAUUCAUUUCAUCAACAAAUAUUUAAUGAGUACCUACUAUAUGCCAUGCCACAAAGAGUAUAAACCUAGAGACAGAAUGUUGAGUCACAUAGACAGUGCUCCUGAUACAAUUAUUUGAACUGAGUUAACAAUACUUCAAGGUUCCAUGUCUAAUUUACUGGCUAGGUUCUCAACAAAAUUUCUGGAUA
rnacentral:lncRNA from 10 species